GCGCUAGUGGUUCAGUGGUAGAAUUCUCGCCUGCCACGCGGGAGACUGGGGUUGGAUUGCCCGCUAGCGCA